AUGGCGCCGUCCCCGUCCCCGCCGCCGCCGGCGAGCGGAGCGCAGUACGCGCACCAGUUCCUCAACACCGCCCUCUCCCAGCGGGGACCCUCGGCGCUCCCCUACGCGGAGGACGUCAAGUGGCUCAUCCGCAACCACCUCGUCGCCCUCGCCGACGCCUUCCCCUCGCUCCACCCCAAGGCGGCCCUCUUCACCCACAACGACGGCCGCGCCGCGCACCUGCUCCAGGCCGACGGCACCGUCCCCAUCCACCACGCCGGCGCCACCUACAACCUGCCCGCCGUCAUCUGGCUGCCCGAGACCUACCCGCGCUCCCCGCCCCUCGUCUUCCUCUCCCCCACCCGCGACAUGCUCAUCAAGCCCCACCACCCGCUCGUCGACCGCUCCGGCCUCGUCGCCAACGCGCCCUACCUCCGCUCCUGGGUCUUCCCCUCCUCCAACCUCCUCGACCUCGUCAGAUCCCUCUCCCACCUCUUCGGCCUCGACCCGCCGCUCUUCACCAGAUCCGUCGCAGCCCCGUCUCCCACUCCUCCUCCCGCUCAUCCUGCUCCUCCUCCCGCCGCCGCCGCCUCCCCCGCCAUGCGCCCCGAGGCCGUCUACGCCCCUGUCCCUCGCCCAUACAGGUUCCCGGCAUCGCCCCAGCUCGCCGCGCGCCAGCCGCCCACAGAGGACCCAGCCGAGGUCUUCAAGCGCAACGCCAUCUCCAAGCUCGUCGAUACCGCCUAUGCUGACGCUGCCGCUCUGCGCACCGCCCGCGAGGCCGAGGUCGACUCCCUCUUCGCUGUGCAGGCCGAGCUGCGUGGCCGGGGGGAGGCGGUGAACGACGGGGUGCGCAGGAUCACGGAGGAGAAGGAGACGCUCGAGCGUCGGCUUCAGGAUGUGGUGAUGGCCACUGACGUCAUUGAGGCCUGGGUUGCCGAGAACCGCAAGGGGGCUGCCGAUGGCACCACCGAGGUGGAGGGGGCCAUCCAGCCAGCCGACGUGCUGUCCAGGCAGAUGCUUGAGUGCACAGCUACUGAUUUGGCGCUUGAGGACACCAUCUACGCGCUUGACAAGGCUGUUCAGGAAGGAUCGGUGCCAUUCGAUGGCUACCUUAGGAGCGUGCGCGCACUUGCACGGGAGCAGUUCUUCCAGCGUGUCCUCUGCACCAAGGUUAACAAUGCGCAACAGCAGGCGCAGGUCGCUAGGAUGGCGGCACGGGCACCACAGUACGCCUCCUAG
rnacentral:rRNA from 1 species